rnacentral:rRNA from 1 species
GAUGAACGCUGACAGAAUGCCUAACACAUGCAAGUCAACUUGAAUUUGGGUUUUUAACUUAGGUUUGGGUGGCGGACGGGUGAGUAACGCGUAAAGAACUUGCCUCACAGCUAGGGACAACAUUUGGAAACGAAUGCUAAUACCUAAUACUAUGAUAAUAGGGCAUCCUAUAAUUAUGAAAGCUAUAAGCGCUGUGAGAGAGCUUUGCGUCCCAUUAGCUAGUUGGAGAGGUAACGGCUCACCAAGGCGAUGAUGGGUAGCCGGCCUGAGAGGGUGAUCGGCCACAAGGGGACUGAGACACGGCCCUUACUCCUACGGGAGGCAGCAGUGGGGAAUAUUGGACAAUGGACCAAGAGUCUGAUCCAGCAAUUCUGUGUGCACGAUGAAGUUUUUCGGAAUGUAAAGUGCUUUCAGUUGGGAAGAAAGAAAUGACGGUACCAACAGAAGAAGUGACGGCUAAAUACGUG